AUUUGUUGAGUAAGAUAAUAUGUAAAUAAUAACAGAUUUCAAUUCUCCCAUAUCAGUGAUGUGGUAUCUGAGCAUAGAUAAUUUUCUCUUAUUUUCUAUUAUCGAAUUGCUAUGAUUCGUUUUGGAUGAUCUGGUGCCGUCGUCGAUUCCAUCCUUCGCUACAUCUUCCGAGUUGCCGCACUUGCUCCACCAUUGGUUCAUCUAUCAUCAAUUCCUCCAUUUUCGCAAGUACAAUCGGAGAUGUCAGGUCAAAAAUUCUUCCAAUUUUGAAUCGCAAUUGAACCCAUUUCUUUUUCAUCACUCUUUCGGUCUUGCUACUAUCCUUGUUACUCAGCAACUAUCAGGAGCCAAUAACUACACUUCUUGGAAUCGUGCAAUGCUAAUUGCCCUUUCGACCAAAAAUAAAAUAGGAAUCAAUCAUGGAACUAUCAAGAAACCAAGUGUUGAUAUGCUACAUGCCUGGAAAUGGAACAAUGAUGUGGUAAUUUCUUGGAUAAUGAAUUCAGUUUCCAAAGAGAUAGCAGCUAGUCUCAUUUACUCAUAUUCGGCACAAGACAUAUAGGAGGAACUUAAGGAUCGCUUUCAACAAAGUAAUGGACCGGGGAUUUAUCAACUUCGGAAGGAAUUUGUGACGAUUACUCAAGGAAUCUCAUUUGUAGAGGUUUAUUAUACUAAACUUAAAAUAGUUUGGCAAGAAUUAUGUGAAUAUCGCCCUCCCAGAACCUGUACUUACGGAGGACUAAAGCAAAUCUUUGAUUACUUCAAUUCAGAGUACAUAAUGGUGUUCCUGAUAGGGCUAAAUGAGUCUUAUGCUAGAGUCAAAGCACAAAUUCUUUUAAUGGAACCUAUUCCACCAAUUAAUAAGGUUUUUUCUCUUAUAAUUCAAGAAGAACACCAACGAUCGAUUUCCACUCCAGAUUCAAUCGCUUUGGUUGCUGCUAUCGAGACUUCUAAACGGCCUGUGAAUGAUCGUUUUGCAAAAGAGUAUAUCAACGUCCUCAUUGUACUCAAUGUGGUCUUAAAGGACAUACAAUCGAGCAUUGCUACAAGCUUCAUGGGUAUCCACCAGGCUAUAAACGACGGAAUUCAUUCAACACAUCAGGAUAUCCUUCAAACUCAAGUAUUGUUUCUCCUGCUAAAAAAUUGGCCUCCUCUUCAGCCACAACAACCACUGUUUCUUCAAAUCAACCAGCUUUCUUUGCUAGUUUGAAUCCCAACCAAUAUGCACAACUAAUGGACAUGCUCAAUACUCACCUAUCAGGACCAAAAUCUUAGCCUAUCUCUACGAAUCCUGUGACUCACGUAGCAGUUCUUGUGUUAUCCAGGACAAAUCACUUUCAAGGACGAUUGGGAAGGCUAGUUAUUUGAACGACUUAUACUUGUUCUCUCGGUCAGCUUGCACCAAUGUUACUGCUGCAUUUCUUUGUAAAGCUUCCAUAAAUACUUGGCACAAUCGUUUAGGACAUUUAUCUCCUACACGUCUAGCUCUUUUAAAAAAUGUUUUAGAUUUGCCUGAUCGAUGUACUGAUUCUCCUUGUUCAGUUUGUCCCUUAGCUAAACAAUGUCAUCUGUCUUUUGUUACAAACAAUAAUGUGGCUGAUUCUGUUUUUUACUUAGUCCACUGUGAUGUUUGGGGUCCGUUUCAUACUUCAACAUAUAAUGGUUACUCAUAUUUCUUACCAUUGUUGACGAUUGUUCUCGUUAUACCUUGUUAUAUUUGAUGAAGUAUAAAUCUGAUGUGUUGCAUAUCA